rnacentral:rRNA from 1 species
CGGCGGACGGGUGAGUAACACGUGGGUAACCUACCUAUAAGACUGGGACAACUUCGGGAAACCGGAGCUAAUACCGGAUAAGAUAUCGAACCGCAUGGUUCGAUAGUGAAAGAUGGUUUUGCUAUCACUUAUAGAUGGACCCGCGCCGUAUUAGCCAGUUGGUGAGGUAACGGCUCACCAAGGCAACGAUACGUAGCCGACCUGAGAGGGUGAUCGGCCACACUGGAACUGAGACACGGUCCAGACUCCUACGGGAGGCAGCAGUG